UUGUAGGCGGCCUGUAUUUCUUUGGUUAUGGUUCUCUACUGUGUUGGUAUAUCAUCCAUCUACGUUUACUACACUAGGUUUCAUAAAGAUCGGAAAAGUCGUACUCUUCAAGCAGUCGCCUUUCAACAAUCCUAAAAAUUCAUAUUUUUAAUUUUUAAAUACAAAGUUAUUUUAAAUUAUAUUUACUUGAUUAUAUUUUGUGUAGAAUAAAGGGUGCAAAAUAAU